rnacentral:rRNA from 1 species
UACGGGGGGGGCAAGCGUUGUUCGGAAUUACUGGGCGUAAAGCGUGCGCAGGCGGUUGCGCAAGACAGAUGUGAAAUCCCCGGGCUCAACCUGGGAACUGCAUUUGUGACUGCACGGCUGGAGUGCGGCAGAGGGGGAUGGAAUUCCGCGUGUAGCAGUGAAAUGCGUAGAUAUGCGGAGGAACACCGAUGGCGAAGGCAAUCCCCUGGGCCUGCACUGACGCUCAUGCACGAAAGCGUGGGGAGCAAACAGG